AGUGUCUUGACAAUCCUAAUAUAAACAGUCUU
rnacentral:tRNA from 1 species